rnacentral:rRNA from 1 species
AUUGAACGCUGGCGGCAGGCCUAACACAUGCAAGUCGAACGAGUGGCGGACGGGUGAGUAAUGUCUGGGAAACUGCCUGAUGGAGGGGGAUAACUACUGGAAACGGUAGCUAAUACCGCAUACCAUCGGAUGUGCCCAGAUGGGAUUAGCUAGUAGGUGGGGUAACGGCUCACCUAGGCGACGAUCCCUAGCUGGUCUGAGAGGAUGACCAGCCACACUGAAACUGAGACCCGGUCCAGACUCCGACGGGAGGCAGCAGGGGGUAAUAUGGCACAAUGGGCGCAGGCCUGAUGCAGCCUUGCCGGGUGUGGGAAGAAGGCCUUCGGGUUGUAAAGCACUUUCAGCGGGGAGGCGUUACCCGCAGAAGAAGCACCGGCUAACUCCGUGCCAGCAGCCGCGGUAAUAC